UACGUAGGGUGCGAGCGUUAAUCGGAAUUACUGGGCGUAAAGCGUGCGCAGGCGGCGCGUUAAGACAGGUGUGAAAGCCCCGAGCUUAACUUGGGAAUUGCGCUUGUGACUGGCGUGCUGGAGUGUGGCAGAGGGAGGUGGAAUUCCACGUGUAGCAGUGAAAUGCGUAGAGAUGUGGAGGAACACCAGUGGCGAAGGCGGCUCACUGGUCCGGUUCUGACGCUGAGGCGCGAAAGCGUGUGGAGCAAACAGG
rnacentral:rRNA from 1 species